UACGUAGGUGGCAAGCGUUGUCCGGAAUUAUUGGGCGUAAAGCGCGCGCAGGUGGUUUCUUAAGUCUGAUGUGAAAGCCCACGGCUCAACCGUGGAGGGUCAUUGGAAACUGGGGAACUUGAGUGCAGAAGAGGAAAGUGGAAUUCCAAGUGUAGCGGUGAAAUGCGUAGAGAUUGGAGGAACACCAGUGGCGAAGGCGACUUUCUGGUCUGUAACUGACACUGAGGCGCGAAAGCGUGGGGAGCGAACAGG
rnacentral:rRNA from 1 species